rnacentral:lncRNA from 1 species
CUCAAAUCCCCUCCCUUAUGUUAGAUACUCUUCUGCAUUGAAUAUAUUUUGACUAGGUCUCUGACCUACAGAAGAGGAUUUGCUAUAUAUGUUUCAUUGUUUAAAAUCAGCUAAGCAGGAUUUUCACAUGCAAAAGUGAUAGCUAGACCUUAACGAAUCUUAUAACACAAAAUUAAUGUUCCUAAUUGCUCCUGUUGUAAGAUUGUAUUUGAAUUAAGUAUAUUACAUGUUAAAUUGACAUGAGCUAAAAUGUCAUGAACACGUGUUUAUGACAUCAUCAAUUGUACAGGUCAAUAUCCACUGAUAAAGAAAUCAGAAAAUAUUCCAUAUGCUCCUGCUCGUAGAAAAAUAUACAUUGUUUAUGUAUAGAUAGCUAUGUAAAAUUCUAUAUCAGUGAAUAUGGACAAAGCCCAUUGUGAAGAGCAUAUCUUGCCUGUCUUAUUUGGCUGUUGAUGCUGCAAGUAUAUUCUGUGUGAAGCUACUUUACACUUCCGAGAGAGAUGAUGUUUCAGCGAUCAAAACAGAAAAGCUGUGCAGUGGGCCAUCAAUGACACUUCUGUUUUUCUAACUCCUGUACAUACAAGACUUAAAAUAUGCUUCUCUAUGUAGUGUGGCUGUCAAAUAAAGGAUGUAAUGACUCAGACUUUCA